rnacentral:rRNA from 1 species
CCUACGGGUGGCAGCAGUGGGGAAUAUUGGGCAAUGGGCGCAAGCCUGACCCAGCAACGCCGCGUGAAGGAAGAAGGCUCUCGGGUUGUAAACUUCUUUUGUCAGGGAAGAGUAGAAGACGGUACCUGACGAAUAAGCCAUGGCUAACUACGUGCCAGCAGCUGCGUUAAUACGUAGGUGGCAAGCGUUGUCCGGAUUUACUGGGUGUAAAGGGCGUGUAGCCGGGUUGACAAGUCAGAUGUGAAAUCCUGCGGCUUAACCGCAGAACUGCAUUUGAAACUGUUGAUCUUGAGUACUGGAGAGGCAGAUGGAAUGCCUAGUGUAGCGGUGAAAGGCGUAGAUAUUAGGAGGAACACCAGUGGCGAAGGCGGUCUGCUGGACAGCAACUGACGGUGAGGCGCGAAAGCGUGGGGAGCAAACAGGAUUAGAUACCCCGGUAGUC